rnacentral:rRNA from 1 species
GUGGGGAAUAUUGGACAAUGGGCGCAAGCCUGAUCCAGCCAUGCCGCGUGAGUGAUGAAGGCCCUAGGGUUGUAAAGCUCUUUCACCGGUGAAGAUAAUGACGGUAACCGGAGAAGAAGCCCCGGCUAACUUCGUGCCAGCAGCCGCGGUAAUACGAAGGGGGCUAGCGUUGUUCGGAAUUACUGGGCGUAAAGCGCACGUAGGCGGGUAUUUAAGUCAGGGGUGAAAUCCCGGAGCUCAACUCCGGAACUGCCUUUGAUACUGGGUACCUAGAGUAUGGAAGAGGUAAGUGGAAUUCCGAGUGUAGAGGUGAAAUUCGUAGAUAUUCGGAGGAACACCAGUGGCGAAGGCGGCUUACUGGUCCAUUACUGACGCUGAGGUGCGAGAGCGUGGGGAGCAAACAGGAUUAGAAACCCGUGUAGUCC